rnacentral:rRNA from 1 species
CCUACGGGUGGCAGCAGUAGGGAAUAUUGCUCAAUGGGGGAAACCCUGAAGCAGCAACGCCGCGUGGAGGAUGAAGGUUUUCGGAUUGGUAACUCCUUUUUUUAGAGAAGAUAAUGACGGUAUCUAACGAAUAAGCACCGGCUAACUCCGUGCCAGCAGCCGCGGUAAUACGGAGGGUGCAAGCGUUACUCGGAAUCACUGGGCGUAAAGAGAGCGUAGGCGGGAUAGCAAGUCAGAUGUGAAAUCCUAUGGCUUAACCAUAGAACUGCAUUUGAAACUGUUAUUCUAGAGUAUGGGAGAGGUAGGUGGAAGUCGUGGUGUAGGGGUGAAAUCCGUAGAGAUCUCGAGGAAUACUCAUUGCGAAGGCGACCUGCUAGAACAUAACUGACGCUGAUGCGCGAAAGCGUGGGGAGCAAACAGGAUUAGAUACCCCUGUAGUC